rnacentral:tRNA from 6 species
GCGCUGGUGGUGGAAUUGGUAGACACACCAUCUUGAGGGGGUGGCGGGGCGACCCGUGCGAGUUCAAAUCUCGCUCAGCGCACCA